UACAGAGGUCUCAAGCGUUGUUCGGAUUCAUUGGGCUUAAAGGGUGCGUAGGUGGUGGGGUAAGUCGGAUGUGAAAUCCCGGGGCUCAACCCCGGAACUGCAUUCGAUACUUCCUUGCUCGAGUACUGGAGAGGAGACUGGAAUUUACGGUGUAGCAGUGAAAUGCGUAGAUAUCGUAAGGAAGACCAGUGGCGAAGGCGAGUCUCUGGACAGUUACUGACACUGAGGCACGAAAGCGUGGGGAUCAAACAGG
rnacentral:rRNA from 1 species